UGGCAUCCUUCGGGGUUACAGCCUUGCUGAAUUAUUCACCCGUGUCUUUUGCGUACUUCUUGUUUCCUUGGUGGGUUCGCCCACCAUAGGACAAACCAUAAACCUUUUGUAAUUGCAAUCAGCGUCAGUAAAAAAAAUUAAUAAUUACAACUUUUAACAACGGAUCUCUUGGUUCUGGCAUCGAUGAAGAACGCAGCGAAAUGCGAUAAGUAGUGUGAAUUGCAGAAUUCAGUGAAUCAUCGAAUCUUUGAACGCACAUUGCGCCCUUUGGUAUUCCAAAGGGCAUGCCUGUUCGAGCGUCAUUUGUACCCUCAAGCUUUGCUUGGUGUUGGGCGUCUUGUCUCCAGUUCGCUGGAGACUCGCCUUAAAGUAAUUGGCAGCCGGCCUACUGGUUUCGGAGCGCAGCACAAGUCGCGCUCUCUUCCAGCCAAGGUCAGCAUCCACAAAGCCUUUUUUCAACUUUUGACCUCGGAUCAGGUAGGGAUACCCGCUGAACUUAAGCAUAUCAAUA
rnacentral:rRNA from 1 species